rnacentral:misc_RNA from 1 species
CUUCAUGGGGGAGAUUCAUCAGCCAAUGCAUGUUGGAUUCACCAGCGAUGAAGGAGGCAAAACCACUGAUUUGCGCUGGUUUAGGCAUAAAUCUAUUCUUCAUCAUGGAAUAUGGUAUGAUGAUGUCUCAUAAUGGAAAGAUUGUAAUGAUCUCCUUUCAUGUCCAAACAAGUAUGCUGUGGAGAGCAUAAACUUGGGUUGCAAAUGGGGUUACAA